CCACGAACCAAGUGAAAUACUAAUUAGUUUAUGAACAAAUGAAUAAUGUGUACAAGUUAUCUAUAUCCUUUAAUACGAGAGACAGAGCGUCGAUGGGAUGAAAAUUGAUAAAUGAAAAUAUAAUCGAGAUUGAAUAUAAAAAAACUGCAUACUGGAAAUAUUUAAUUAUGAUGGGAAUUACAAACUUGAAAGAUUUUCAAAAAAUAAAAGAAAUGUGAAAAUGCUCGUUUUCCUGAUAAAGAAGCGCGUAUCUAUUUGUACGGAAAUUCACAGCAAUUAUUGAGAAGAGUAUGAGUCACUAUCAAGUAAAGGAUACAAGAUGAUCAACCAUAGUAACAGUGAAGAAGAGAGAUUCGUUAAAUAUGAUCGGAGCUCGCGUGCAGAGAAUAGGAGGUGACCUAGGAAGGAUUGUUGAAGAAGUUACAAUGGCAAUACUUUGACGAUGAACAUUAAAUAGACGAUAAAAUUAGGCAUUAUUAUAUCAUAUAAUUGUAUGAUAUUUAAAUAAAUGAAGUUCUACUAUGUAUAUGUAUAUAAAACAAUACAACAUACUUGACUGAAAAUGGGAACUGGCAAAAAACCGAUGUCAUUAGGAAAUAGAAAUGCGUGACAUGUUGGACAAACAGGUUC